GUGCUAGCUUUGUCAGCACAUACACUGAAAUUGUAAUGAUACAUAGAAGAUUACCAAGGUCCCUGCACAAGGAUGGCAUGCAAAUUCAUGAAGCAUUCCGUAUUUUU